rnacentral:rRNA from 1 species
ACGAAGUAGCAAUACUUAGUGGCAGACGGGUGAGUAACAUGUGGGUAUCUACCCUUUGGCCUGGAAUAACACGAGGAAACUUGUGCUAAUACCGGAUAAGUCUUUACGGAGAAAGCUUUAUGCACCAUUGGAUGAGCCCGCACUUGAUUAGUUUGUUGGUAGGGUAAUGGCCUACCAAGACUAUGAUCAAUAGCUGAUUUGAGAGGAUGAUCAGCCACAUUGGGACUGAGACACGGCCCAAACUCCUACGGGAGGCAGCAGUGGGGAAUCUUGCACAAUGGAGGAAACUCUGAUGCAGCGAUGCCGCGUGAGUGAAGAAGGCCUUUGGGUUGUAAAGCUCUUUCGUCGGGGAAGAAAAUGACUGUACCCGAAUAAGAAGGUCCGGCUAACUUCGUGCCAGCAGCCGCGGUAAUACGAAGGGACCUAGCGUAGUUCGGAAUUACUGGGCUUAAAGAGUUCGUAGGUGGUUGAAAAAGUUGGUGGUGAAAUCCCAGAGCUUAACUCUGGAACUGCCAUCAAAACUUUUCAGCUAGAGUAUGAUAGAGGAAAGCAGAAUUUCUAGUGUAGAGGUGAAAUUCGUAGAUAUUAGAAAGAAUACCAAUUGCGAAGGCAGCUUUCUGGAUCAUUACUGACACUGAGGAACGAAAGCAUGGGUAGCGAAGAGGAUUAGAUACCCUCGUAGUCCAUGCCGUAAACGAUGUGUGUUAGACGUUGGAAAUUUAUUUUCAGUGUCGCAGGGAAACCGAUAAACACACCGCCUGGGGAGUACGACCGCAAGGUUAAAACUCAAAUGAAUUGACGGGGACCCGCACAAGUAGUGGAGCA